CGCACGCCGUAGUGAGUUAUACAAUAAAACAAGAGGAUCACACGGUUGGUUUCAUCGUGGGAGAGAAAACUCACAAGAAAACUACCAGGUAACCUAAUUUCUCUCUUCCUCUCGCUCGCGCUACCAAUGCUAGAUUUUCGAUUCCAUCAAUUUAUAAAUUUAUGUGCAUGUAGUUGCUAUGUGUCGAUCUUCAUUCUCUUUCGUCUUCGCCAUUUUUGUUUUCAUAUGCCAUUUAGUUUUUCUUUAUUUCUUAAUUUCCUUAAGAAUAAUGGAGUCAUACGAUAGAUUUCCUUUCCCUUUCACUUGUUAGAUCUGCAUGACGAUGCUCAUAUGAAUGUCGGAGGUCUUCUUGAAAUUUUCAUUUGGUAACUUUCGUGUAACGAUCGCAUAGCGGAGUGGAUAUCGCGUUAGACUCCGGAUCUAAAGGUCGUGGGUUCGAAUCCCACUGCGAUCGCUUUUAUUUUCUUCAAUAGCAAUAAUUUUCGAUAGAAAUUUCAAAGUCUGUAUUUGAUCUGUUUUUGAUAAUUCUGAGGUAAUUCGCUCUUUUUUUUUUUUUGGAAUUGCUUGGUUUGGUUAUGAUGCACAAACUUUUUUCGCGUAAAUAAUGUUUCUUGCUUCUGUCAAAUUGAAGUAAUAAAGUCAAUUGAUCAAUAAUCUAAUUGGAAUCGAUCUAAAAGCAUGUUGAACUAUUAGAGCAAAUGUUGUUUUUGUUAGCCGUCUCAAUAACAUGGGCAUAUUACUUGGCUGAUUUAUGAAUCUCCUAUAUAUACCUAUAUUCAUUGCUUAAUUGUCAAAUGAUUCAACUGGUAAGGAUUGAAGGACUACAAAGGGAGGACCAAGGCUUGCACUUUUAAGUAACACGUGACCCUUGAAUAAUUAAAUUUGUGGUUUGUUGGUAUUAGGACUUCAUGUUAGAAAAUCAUUUGGGUAAAACUUAGAUAUAGUUCCUUAAAUGAUUUUGGUUCCAGGCUCCCAUAAGUUAGAGUUCACCUCUAACAAAGUUGUGCAUUAAAAAAAUCUAUAUGUUACCAUGUUACCGAAGUGAUACUUUAAUUCUAGUAUAAGAAUAACUCCAAAAGCAUAUGAUAAACUGUAUCUGACUUUCGUCAAAAUCAAAAGAUCUUGUGAAGAAGCAGCUUGUUGAACUAUUUUUCUGUAUUAAGUUCAGUCAAGCAUGCUAAAUAAAGUUGUAGGAUUUUACGGCUAGUUGAUAUCUUCAAUUAUCAUUAAUAUGCUUGCUGGCAUAUAAUAAAAACUACGCAUUAUGAAUUUUGGUUUAUAGUUAGCUAAAGUAAUAGAUGUGAUGUGAUGCUCCUUUAUGUCCACCCUCUGCCUAUCUUAUGGAGCUUGCUUGUUAUUUUAUCAAGUUACUCUUUCUGUGAGGUCAUUCAGCUGCAAGGUUACAAAAAGGAUGACUCGAAGUGUCUUAAAUUAUCGAUCAUUCCAUAUCAAAGGUUGAAUAAUGAUCUCCGAUGUGGUGCCAGUAAAAGUCUAGAAAAGAAAACAUCGCCUUGAAAAUGUCCCGAUAUGUUAGGUACUCUUCCCAAUAUUUGCUUUGUAAUAGAUAAUACUGGUGAUCAUCUAUUAUGCUUUGUUAGUUAGGUGCUUACUGAAAGUGUUGAAAGAUGAGCAGAGUCGUUUCCAUGAAAUUAUAGACUGAGGUCCAACUUGAAUGGUCGAAGAGUGUAUACUAGCCCUCUAGCUUAAUGAGAUAAUUGAGGACGUGUUCAUGUAAAUUUUGGAACUGUGCUUUUGCGGUGCUUACUAAAAACAUAGUCUUGCUUUGUAUAUCAUUGCGAACUUUUA